AGCAAAGGGCUUACAGUAUACUGUGCAUAGGAAUGGAUCAAGGACAAGGAGCUGUGAUGUACAAGGAGGGUGAGACCUGACAAGAGAAGGAACUCAACAUGCAGACAUGAUGGUUGGUGGCAAUAACCAGCUGCAACUUUCAGAUGUCAGGAGCAUAGAUUUCCAUUUUCCUGCAAUACCUCUCCCUAGUCCUGGAAGGGCAGAUUCAUUCUAAGCAUGGUAUUGUAGGACCAGUCUUGGGAACAGCACUGACCCAGCAAGAGCAGAAGAACCUUCAGUACUGAGGAACCUUCGAGAAUGGAUGCAAGCAGCUAAGGUUCAUUGUUUGGCACCGAAACAGUGAGAAGGUGAAAGAAUGGAUAUAAGGAGCUGAUAAACAGGUGCAACUUUAGCUCCCCCCACUCCCACUGUGGCAGCCAGUGGAGCUAACUAAGGAGAAAACAGCCUUCUGCCUCUGAGGAGUCACAUCCCAGUUGUAUUGCUGGCAUUCAUCAUUGCUGUAUACCAAGAGCUGGGGCAUUUGAGCCAAGUGAAAGAAAUGACCCCAGGUCUGAAAGCACAAGAGAGGUGAGAGGACACACCACACCAGAGGGAGAUGAUUAGCCAGAGGAACUGUUAACACCAAAGCCAGUUGUCUCUCCUGGUGGACAUCAGUCUAAGAGGAGCUGACACCCCAGUUGCCUUAGGGAAGAAAGGAAAAGCAGAACUGGGAUGACACCAUGGCAAGCAGCAUGCAGCACCAGUGCACAACAGGCCACAGAGCAAGAAUAAGGCUGUCUUACUAGGCUUCCUAGGAUGUGGGCACCUUUUCAGCUUUCCUGUGCAGUGUAAUGCAUUGCCAGUAAUGCAUUAUAUAAUGCAUAUCUGCCUACAGAGGGGAAUGUAGCAAAGUGAACAUGCACCUAUGAAACUUACUGUUCUACCAUUAAAACAUAAAACAGCCAAUGCAGCUAACUACAGAGAGAUUUGUGAAAUAAUGAGUCAAGAUGGACUGCAAGAGCCUUUUAACUAAACAAAGCUUAGACAUGUAAGCAUCCAUUGACUACACAGGUUGAUUUAGGAAAAGGUACCAAUGCUUUUGGAAAUUUCUCAAGCAAAUCACUCAGUUCACUCUUCCUUAGCCCAGACAUCAUCAGGAAGCAGCAAGAACCUGCCUCUUCUGUCAGUUGUACUUACACUUUUGUCUGCUUUUAUGCUGAUAAAAUGCCACUGACGUCAGCUACAGCAAACCUUCAUGCUUGAUAUACGUGCAAGUAAGAAGAGAAUCAGGGCCAUAUUAAACAAACAAAUGUCAGUCAUCAAGGAGUAAGUGCUCAGAAAAAAGGUAAGUGAAAAGGGCUUGGUGGAGCUCUUCCUCCAUGCUCAAAGGUAAUACGUGGUUGGGUUUAUAUAAAUAAAAGUCAGGGGGUUGCUUUCUUUUUUCCUUAUGUGCUCUUGGAGGAAAUGUUUUGAAAGGCUAAAGCCACUGACAUUUUGGUGUUGUUAGAGUGAAAAUGUAAGUUAGAAAUUAAUGGAAGUGCUCCCCUAAGUAUAUGAUCCAUUAAGUUGUUUUGCAACACUGAGAAAUGAAGCAUGGAGUAUUUUGCUGAAGUCAAUGUCCCAUGGGGAUGAAAGCAAGAUUAGGAUCUUUCACAGCAAUAGGCCAAACUCUGCCAGUAAGCACACAGGUACAAAUCCAGAAUAGAUCCAUUUUAGUUAAAGGGAUUGCCCUGACUUUACAUGGGUGUAAUCAAGGACAAACCCAGGGCCUGUCCCACCAGUUUGGAUGUCUGUGGGCCCAUGUGCCAAAUGCUCUGAAGCAGUGUAUGGCAUCUCUCUGGCCUCUUUACCCAGAAUGUCAGUGAGGUACAGGGGCAAUGCAGGAAGUCAGGGACUUCUGAACGGCUGCCUGAUCUCAGGUGACGGUUGCCUUGCUCAGCAUUAGAGUUUACUGCAGUUUUCUGAGUGGGUUUUGUUUAAUUCUGACUGCACCCUCUGAACAAAAAGAGAUAUCUAUAUACUGGAGAAAGGGCACUGCAUUAUUAUUCUGCAAACAGCGUUCGUAACAGUCAUUAACGCUCUGCCUGCAGCUCCAGCACUGAAGGACAGCAUUUCAGUCUGUCCUGGCAGAACAGAUCAAUUACCAGUUUUCCCUGGGAUGCAUCUUGAUGUUGCUGCCUUUCUCCUACAGCUGCUGACUGCCUGUGUGGUAGCUGCACUGCUCAGCGGUUCCUGCUCUCUCUGCCAGGCAUUUAGCUAUUCAGCUGGUGUUCCAGUGUAUUUGCUUCUGCCUUGCCUACAGACCUGAAGGGCAGGAAAAAACCUGCCAGGCUUGGCCCGAGAUGGGUCUGGACGGCUGUUCUUGGGGCUGCUCAGCUGCAGGUUUGUGUUUCAACUCAGAGGAUGGAACAAAGAGGAAUAACUCUCACGGGUGUUUCUUUACACUGGAUACCUGAAUCCUGAAUGCAAAGAGAAACUGAGCAUUAGAAAAUGCCAGGUUCAAAAAGCUGUUGGCACUGAGCAUGGCUGAUCAAUGGUGUUUUGUUGCUACAACGGGAGAUUUCACUAAAGCUCUUUCCCCUUGGUCUGCUGCCAGGGACCACAGAAGAGGUCUCUGAGGAGCUCAGAAGGGAAGGUAAAGGAGCCUGGAGGAGAAAUUCCUUUGUGACAGUGACUACAGACCAAGAGAAACCUCUCAGCCAUGUGCUGCAGAUACAUUUUUUACAGAUGAAAGCUUGGUAAACAAUAAAAGCGGACAGUAAGCUGUUGAAAAGGAAGGCAACUCAAUCCUCAAAUAUGCUUUUUGUAGUAUCCUGUCUUCACAUUUUGUAAAAUGGCAGGGGAGAUGAAACACAUCUGAAGACAGUUAGGUACCCCUCCGCCUUUCCCUCCACACUGGGCAUAGUGGGAUCUAAAAAGCAGAUGAAUUAUUAAGCAACAGUUGCCCAUGGUAUGGGCUCUCUCCUCAUUGCCAGUUCAAGAAAAGAUGCGAUGGAGCAGGAGUUUUACCGUACUGAGGAGUCUUACCCAAGCCCAGCAAGGAGCCUGUAGAUUGGUGUGCUUCAGCCUGGCAGUGACCCAGGUGACCACCAUGUUAGAGGUGCAGCAAGUCUGAGGCUUCCAAAAACUGAUGCAUGCAAGGCACUCCUGGAAGGCAGUCAUACGGGUCCUGCUCAAAGACCGACGUUCUGGGGUGCAGCAUCCUGCCUCCUCUCCCACUGGGACUGAGGCCCAGCAGGCCCAGCACAGACUGGGCUUUUUUGGGGGAGGCAUUGGAUCCAGCUGUCAAUAGGUGCCACACUUACAACAUCAGGCCAGAUGUUGAGAGAUGAUGUUGGCCUUGCUGUGCACAACACAGUCUGUGUGCAGAAGUACUGCGCCCUCUAUCAGCAACAGACUUACCGGGUAUUCAGAAAUCCCAGGCAAAUAAAGCAAUUCCUCAGAGUCCAGCUGGAUAAGGUUUGGGGCAGAAAGAAAGAACAUACCUGGGGAUAAAAUGGACUCUACUUCUGUCCCCCCACCCCUGUGAAAUCCAGGAAGGAUGCUGUCUAUUCAGGUAUGCCAUUGGAAAGCACCACAUCUGAUCACUAAACAGCCAUAGGCAGCUCUUUUACAGUAAUUUCUCCUGCACAGGUCUCCAAGUGCUCUACACAGAGGCUCGGCCCUGCCCAUCACCUCUUCUUCAGAAUCUGGAGAAGCAGCAGCAUGGUGAGGAGACUAGCGGGCCCCUUGCCACGUCAGGGCUCGAUCUCAGCUUGCCACAUGCAAGGGAUAUUUCACCAAAGGACCUAAGCCUGGUUGGAAAAAGAAUACCAUGCCCUGUGGCUUCGCGGGUCAGAUCCCUGAUUGGUACGAACGGCACUUCUCUGUCAGCUCCUGCAGUGCCUGUUGCCCCAGGAUGUGCUCUCCUACUGGGCUGCAGCUUACAAGACCAGCAACAGAGCGAGUGGGAAGACCUCUUAACUUUCUGGAUGAAGCUGGAAGCAAGCUGAUUAUGUGAGAACCAAAAAUCUCCAACAGGGCAAAGAUUUUCAGAUAUGUUUAAAUGUCACUAUAGGGGCUAUGGCUCAUUUUUUGCUGUUAAUAAUUUGAUACAGCUGUAACAUUUAUUUUAAUAAUACCCAAAGACAAAUUACAGUAUCUAAAAAGACCAGGGUUACAUUUUAGUUUUCUAAAAGCUGAGAUAGUCAUAUUAAUAUAUUAUGAAGGUAUUGUAUCAAGAGUGCUAGUAUUUUAAUGAUAAAACACCUAGGAUCAGUAGAAAAUAUAAGUAAUCUGCAAAUUCAUUUUAGAUACAAUGAAAUAGCAUAGCAUAAGGGGUCUGUUACAUUUUAAAUAGGACAAACAUUAAUUAUACUUCAUGCUGCAACACUUAUUCUUCUGAGGUAAGAAGCAGCAGGAAGGUGCAGCAGGACUCUUAUUUGAUCACACAGCAUCUGCAAAUGUGCAGGGGGCCACAGCAGCUCAUCUGACAGCAACAGGCAAAGGCUGCAGUAAUUAUGGUGCUUGCUGAUGCUGAAGGCAAGCUGCAGAGCAGCCAUGCUCACCUGGCCCAUUAGAGCAGGGCUGGUGGGGACCUGCUAAAGGGCCACAGGCGGAGGGGGAGGUUAUAAACAGGGGAGUGGGCAGUAGGGGAGCCACUAGCCCUCUGGUGCAGAGGGGUAUGGGCUGGGAUCCUGCUCCAGAGCCGUUUUUCCCUUGGAAUUGGAUGGGACUAGAAGCCACAGUCUGUACUUCAAAGUCAUUCUGAUACACACAAGCGACUAGGGUGACAACUUUCCCUUAAUCCUUGCUUCUGAUGAGGCAGCCAAGGCAAUGCAGUGGUGAGACUGUUGGUAAAUCGAUCAGACCACUGUGCUCGUCAUCUCAUCUCCACAGUGAACUCUGUGAACUCACAGUGAUACAAGGAGAGGCAACUCCAAAUUGUCAUCUCAAAACCUCCAUUUCCAGUUCUGGAAUUUUAAGAAAAUCGCUACAGACUUUGGGCUUGGCAGAAAUUGGCCCGCAUGAUGGCACAGGUCUGCCAAAGCAAAGUUCUGCUGAUUCCAGUAGGUCUCCAGGUGGCUACAGGGGCCACUGGUGUGAGAGAAGGAACAGGAGGUACCUGCUCUCCCCAGCCUCGUCCCUAACUCCCAGCUGACUUGUAGGCACGUGUGCUGGCAUCUGCAAGGACAGCUGCAGCAUCAACAGGCAGUGAACUGUAGCAGCUUAAACGCAGAAGAAAACUUGGUAUCUUUUCAAAAGGUCUUAUGAAAUAAACCCACUGAUCCUAACUUUCCAGAACAAAGAAAAUUACACAGAAACACAGAAAAAAUAUUGUCCUGACCACAUAUUAAAAUUUGUAUUUGAUCACACACAUAAAUCAGUUUGCUCAGCUGUAGCAUUCCGCGCCCCGUUUAUGUUCUAUUAGUGUCACAUUAUGUAGUCAAAAUAGUAUUGCUAAGCUCCCUGCUGGCAACUGUCAUUAUUCUAGAGCAUGACAUUUCUGACACUGGGAGUCCAAUAUGAGGUUGCACGCUAAUUUUCCAGCUGCUUGAAUGCUGAUUUAACAAUAGAAUUGAAUUGUUAGUAUUUAUACCUUGACUUCUUCACAUUACCUCAUAAACGAAAGCACUGAGAAGACAAACCACCUUCAUAAGAAACGCUCUCUCAAUGACUACUGAGGACACAGAUUAUGAGAAAUGUCGAAGACAGGAGUUCUUUAGAAAGCUGUGCUAUCAACAACAAAAAUGCAAUGUCAGGUUCUUUUAACAAAGCUAUUAAAUUAAUCCAGGCUCUCAAACACCAAACAAUAAACACCACCGCCCUACAGAUCAAUAUUCUAUCACUCUUUCCCUCUGAGCUUCCAUGUAAGAUGUUUGUCUUUGCCCUAAAUUAUAGAUUUUCAGGGAACUGGCCAUCUUUUAAUUUUCUGACUAUAGCACAAUAGUGUUAUGAUGUCAAAAAUUACGAUAGUAAAAAAGUUGUUUACCUGCAAUUCCUUUCAAAUCAGGGUAUUGUACCUUUCAGAAGUGUUGAUCUGUAUUUAAUGUUCCUAUACAGUAUGUUCUGCCUACAGUUUUGACAAUCCUUCUGUAAUCUGAGGCUGGUGGGUGACCCAAAAAUGUAUUUAGGCACCACAGCACUGUUACCAAAUGUUCAGACAGGAAAUGAGAAAUUCACAAUACUAUCUGUCACACUGUGUGUGUUUGUGUACCCUUGUACCCUGCUUCUUUCCAUCUACAGUGCUGCCAGAGAAACCACCCAGGAUGUAGUAGGUCCAUACCUGGAUCCCUCCUCAGCCCAAGAAGGUAUGAACCUGCUGACCUACAGAGCACCUGAACUCCUGAACCACAACCAGCUCUGCAUGAGGGUUUUUCUACCAUUUGAAAUUUUCUACUCUGGAGCAAAAUGUUCCAGAUUGACUGGGUUGGAGCAGCAGUAGGGGUGAGCGUGACUUCCUAGCGUAACAGCUGAGGUGUGGUAGAGAAAGCUGAGUCCUGUCAUCAGGAGGGCACGUAAGAGGUGAGUGGCUGCGUACUGUGUCCUCAGCACUGUGCAUCAUUCUGUAAAAGUCCCACUACUGUUCCUCAUGGGCUGCGCUGCUUGCUAUGGUAAACACAGGCAUAGACAUCAGGGUUCCCACCACAGCGCCAAAGACUGUUAGUGUAUUUCACCUGACACAAACUGUGCUAUUUAAAAUACAUAAAUUAUGUUUGGCAUUUAAAUUCCAUUGGGGUUAUACCAUGCCUAUGGCUUUUUUUUUCCCCCUCUUUGCAAUUAUUUUUCGUGAGUCGUUGAAGACGCGUGGUCAGUUUGCAGCAGACAGGGAAGCAGACUGCACCAGCACACAUCUGGAUCUUGUGUGCUGAGCAGGACAUUCCCUCGUGUCAUAUUAUUCUGACUUGGGUGCCACGCUGACCUCCCUACUGUCACAAACGUAAUGAACAGCUGUAACAAGACAUUCAGCUGGGAGACAGUUGGGAUACCCCUGUCCCACCACACAAAUAUGGAGAGAAGCAGCCUUCUGCCUUCCAGCACUUCUCGUCUGUGACCAUCAGACAGCUUCUAGAUUCUUUACCAGAAGACCAAUGGGGGUCGCUGGGUCACGUCUGCUUCCAUGCUGGAGUCACAGAAACCUGCUUCACCACUUGGCAAGCGUUGUACAGGACUCGAACACCGAUUAAAAUAAGAUCUGUGCUAACAGUA